rnacentral:rRNA from 1 species
AUUGAACGCUGGCGGCAGGCCUAACACAUGCAAGUCGAACGGUAACAGGAAGAAGCUUGCUUCUUUGCUGACGAGUGGCGGACGGGUGAGUAAUGUCUGGGAAACUGCCUGAUGGAGGGGGAUAACUACUGGAAACGGUAGCUAAUACCGCAUAACGUCGCAAGACCAAAGAGGGGGACCUUCGGGCCUCUUGCCAUCGGAUGUGCCCAGAUGGGAUUAACUAGUAGGUGGGGUAACGGCUCACCUAGGCGACGAUCCCUAGCUGGUCUGAGAGGAUGACCAGCCACACUGGAACUGAGACACGGUCCAGACUCCUACGGGAGGCAGCAGUGGGGAAUAUUGCACAAUGGGCGCAAGCCUGAUGCAGCCAUGCCGCGUGUAUGAAGAAGGCCUUCGGGUUGUAAAGUACUUUCAGCGGGGAGGAAGGGAGUAAAGUUAAUACCUUUACUCAUUGACGUUACCCGCAGAAGAAGCACCGGCUAACUCCGUG